rnacentral:rRNA from 1 species
GGGGGGGGGGGGGGGGGGGGGGGGCACAGGCAGGGCGAAGGGGGAGGCCCGGCGUUGGUGGGGGGCGCGAGUGGCGAACGGGUGAGUAACACGGGAGUAACCUGCCCUUGACUUUGGGAUAACUUCAGGAAACUGGGGCUAAUACCGGAUAGGAGCUCCUGCUGCAUGGUGGGGGUUGGAAAGUUUCGGCGGUUGGGGAUGGACUCGCGGCUUAUCAGCUUGUUGGUGGGGUAGUGGCUUACCAAGGCUUUGGCGGGUAGCCGGCCUGAGGGUGACCGGCCACAUUGGGACUGAGAUACGGCCCAGACUCCUACGGGAGGCAGCAGUGGGGAAUAUUGCACAAUGGGCGGAAGCCUGAUGCAGCAACGCCGCGUGCGGGAUGACGGCCUUCGGGUUGUAAACCGCUUUCGCCUGUGACGAAGCGUGAGUGACGGUAAUGGGUAAAGAAGCACCGGCUAACUACGUG